rnacentral:rRNA from 1 species
UACAGGGGGUGCAAACGUUGCUCGGAAUCAUUGGGCGUAAAGCGCACGUAGGCGGUUCGUUAUGUCGGAUGUGAAAGCCCUUGGCUUAACCGAGGAAGUGCAUCCGAAACUGGCGAGCUAGAGUACGAAAGAGGAUCGCGGAAUUCCCGGUGUAGAGGUGAAAUUCGUAGACAUCGGGAGGAACACCGGUGGCGAAGGCGGCGAUCUGGGUCGAUACUGACGCUGAGGUGCGAAAGCGUGGGGAGCGAACGGG